rnacentral:lncRNA from 1 species
GUCAUGGCCCUUGACAUGGCUGAAUAUUGUCCGCUUUGGGCCCUUCCGUACGAGGUCACCCUCACGGUUUUAUUCUUGGGGGAAAUGGGAAACUUCCCAGGAGGUCACCCAUCCUAGGAUUUCCGUUAAGCGAGCACGUUUAACCCUGGAGUUCUUCCAACUCUCCAGCCAUUUCACCACCAAAACGCGUCCAACCAUUCAAGGCACCACCCCUCUUAUGUACAUCACUUACUCCUCGCACUUAACCGAUGUGGGAUUCGCCUAGGUGCACUGUAGGCUUAGAUCCCUCAC